AGUGGANAAGAAGAAUAAGGAUAAGUUCAGCUACAAGAUCAACAUCACAGUAGACAAAGUCAAGGAAAAGCAGAAAGUGGAGAUUGAUGAUGAAGAUCUUUAGAAGAUUCUUUAGUAGGAAGUGGUUAGGAUUGAAUGGAUCAAAUAUCAUCCAUUAAAAUCUAGUUUUUUGGCCUUUGAUCUCUUAUCAUAGUUUUGUAAAUUAGAAACCGAAAAUUCCUGUAUGAUGUAUGUGACAGUGUUAAUGUAUGUCCAGUUUUGUAUUUUUUGUAAAAUGAGACUCACCUAGAGAAAGGUGACAAUUAUUUGGUCCUGAAUUAAACCAAAUAUUGGAAAUUUCAUUUUUUACCUUCUUAAUUUAUCUUGAAGUUUCAUAAUUAGGCAUGUUAAGUUUUUGGAAAAUUAUUAUUAUUGUUUUCAGAGAACAUGCCAAUCCCACUGGAAGAUGCAUUGACUCAAGUUCUUGAGACUUCAUUAUCCACUCAAAAUGAUGAAUCAAGUGGAAGUCAGAAAAUCAAUGAAAUGGAACUGUCUAAACAAUGGAACACCCAUACUUCCCCUGAUCAUGAAGAAAGUAGAAAAAUGAUGCUUUAUCAAGCUGAGAAGCGUAAGCUUACUCAUGAGAUUGAGAACAUAAAGAAGAAACUGAAAGAAGCCAUUCUUUGUCCGGUUUGUCUCAAGAUCCCUCGAAGUGAACAGAUUCCUAUUUGUAGGAAUGGUCAUAUAACAUGUGAAAGCUGUUAUAGGGAUACUUGUCCAACCUGUAGAAGCCCAAUGAAUACCAUGACUCAAACUGACAAGAUCCCCAGGAAAAUGUUUUCCCCUUUGUCCUUGAACAUCACGGAGUUGCUUGAUUAUAACUGCAUCUAUGCUGAUGAAGGUUGCAAGGUGACUCUAAAGAAGGGAGAUAUUGAGGUUCAUGAGGAAGGCUGUGACUAUCACAAGAAUAUUCCAUGUCCUGCACCUAAAUGUAAAGGUCUUGUGUCUCGUCACAGCAUUGGUAACCAUGUUCUAACCUGUGAGCAUGUUAAGAUUUCUGAGGAAACUCAACUCUCUUUAGGUAAGCAGAUCUCGAAAAAGUUCACCAAGUGCUUUGAAGAAGAGGUUGCCUACUUUGGUACUCUUGUGUUUAAACUCAAGGAUUCUGAAGAUCUGCUGUAUCUUGUAUCUGUGGAAGAUAAAGCAUCUAGUUCCUCACUAGUAUUUAUGCGUUUGCUUUCCACUGACAUAAAUAAAGAAUACUCUGUCAAGAUUGAAAUAUCUGACCUGGACGAAACCAUUUCCAAGUCAUUCUUGGGGAAUACUUUAACCAUAAAGGAGAGUUAUGAGAAUGGAGUAAAGAAAGGAAAUGUUCUGCAGAUUCCAGGGAAGAUGAUGGGGUAAAUGUGGACCAAGAAGAAGAAAGACAAGUUGACAAGAUUAAAGAGAAGAAAGUGGAUAUUCUAGAUCAGGAUCUAGAUGAAAUUAUUCUUUAAAAGAAAGUUUUGGUAAAGUUUUCCACUUAGAAUAUUUAACACUAGUCUAGUUAAGGAGAAAAAAGAUAUUUUGUCCUUAACAAAUUUGUAUUUGCAGUCAUUUUACUUAAAAUUGAAGUAAUUAUGAAAUCAUUUGGGCUUUUGUUGUAUUACCCACAAAGUUUCUUAAUAUUUUAGUUAGUUGAAAUAGUUUAAUUGGUGUUGUAUGUCUAAAAUCCUUAUCUAUGAUUUGAUCUUCAAAUCAUUUUUUAACCACAUAGUUCAAGUGAGGAUUUUGUUUGAAGUUUAUUUAUGAUGAAGAUUGUUAAAGAAAAAUUGAUGCUUUUUAUAUCUCACAGUGUUCAAGUUCCGCAAUGGUAAUUCGUUUUGAUUCUGAUAUCUAAAGUAUGUUUAACUGUUUUUAAACAUAAAUAUUUGUUUCUUUCUAUCAGCAAUAUAAUUUUUUAUGUAGCUUUUAAACCAUUUUUUCAGACUUCUGGAAAAAAAUGGAGGAUUCCAGUAAUAUAUCUAAGGUUGCAGCAACUUCUGAAAUAAAUCUUUUUGGUAUAGGUUCCAGUACAGCUGGUGUCCCCAUACUUCGGAUCAGUGAGGUAGAGAAAGAAAACUUAAAGUUAAAGGAACAGAUCAAGAUUCUUGAGGAAAAAUUGGACGAGAACAAGAAUAUAAGUAAGAUUAAAGAACUAGAGAACAUCAAAAAGAGGUUGACUGAGGAAAUCCUUUGUCCAAUUUGUCUAAGUAUACCCAAAAGCAAGAAAAUACCAGUUUGUGAGAAUGGUCAUACAACCUGUUUGGAAUGCAUAAGAGGAUCUACUCCAACAUGUCCAAUCUGUUCAGUUUCUUGCAGAGACAUAAGAUUCUCUCCUCUUGCACUAAGCAUCACAGAACUGUUUGAAGUUGAGUGUAUGAACAAGGAUAAAGGCUGCAAUGUUUAUGUUCUAAAAAGGGAUAUCUCCGAACAUGAGAAGAUAUGCAGGUUUACUGAGAAUAUAAAAUGUCCUGGCAAAGGCUGUUUAAUAAUGGUUUCUCUGGAAACUAUUUAUAAACAUCUUGAGACCUGCUGUGUUCAACAAGUAAGUGAUACACCUGUGGUUCUGGGGGAACCCUACUCAAUAGAAAUAAACAAUGCAACAUAUUUUUGUGAUUUUAUCCCCUGUGUCGUAGAAAUUGCUAAUAUAUCAGAUAAGCUUUUCUUAUGUAGUGAAAACCUAGGUGAUGAUGGAGCUGUAUUUCUUGUGAAACUUCUUAGUGAGGAUAGUUUUAGGAGAUAUCAGCUCAGAUUGGAAGUAAUGAACAAGGAAAACACUAUUGGCAGAUCUCCCCUGGCAGAGACUGUCUAUAUUCACGAAGAUACAUCGAAGGCUCUGUCAGAUGGAAAUGCUCUGGAGAUCAAGGCCAAUGUUAUGCAGAAAAUAAUGUUUUACGGUGAAACUUUCUGUGGAAACUUUUCUUUCACAAAGGGUUCAAAGCGAAAACUUGACCUUGAUCAAUGAAAGUGUUUUUAAUAUUAUCUUUAUUAAAAUAUUAUUUUUUAAAGUUGGAUUUUUC
rnacentral:misc_RNA from 1 species